CAUUAGGUGGCUGAAUA
rnacentral:tRNA from 1 species